UACGUAGGUGGCAAGCGUUGUCCGGAUUUACUGGGCGUAAAGAGCGCGCAGGCGGUCGUUCAAGUCGCGUGUGAAAGCCCCCGGCCCAACUGGGGAGGGUCACGCGAUACUGAUCGACUGGAAGGCAGGAGAGGGUAGUGGAAUUCCCGGUGUAGUGGUGAAAUGCGUAGAUAUCGGGAGGAACACCAGUGGCGAAGGCGACUACCUGGCCUGUUCUUGACGCUGAGGCGCGAAAGCUAGGGGAGCAAACAGG
rnacentral:rRNA from 1 species